rnacentral:rRNA from 1 species
AUUGAACGCUGGCGGCAGGCCUAACACAUGCAAGUCGAACGAGUGGCGGACGGGUGAGUAAUGUCUGGGAAACUGCCUGAUGGAGGGGGAUAACUACUGGAAACGGUAGCUAAUACCGCAUACCAUCAGAUGUGCCCAGAUGGGAUUAGCUAGUUGGUGGGGUAACGGCGAACCAAGGAGACGAUCCCUAGCUGGUCUGAGAGGAUGACCAGUCACACUGGAACUUAGACAGGGUCCAGACUCCUACGGGAUGCAGCAGGGGGGAUUAUUGCACAAUGGGCGCAAGCCUGAUGCAGCCAUGCCGCGUGUAUGAAGAAGGCCUUCGGGUUGUAAAGUACUUUCAGCGGGGAGACGUUACCCGCAGAAGAAGCACCGGCUGACACCGUGCCAGCAGCCGCGGUAAUAC